UGCUAAUCAACCACAGGUUGGCGCAAUGGUAGCGCGUUGGUUUUCGGCACCAAAGGUUGAGGGUUCGAGCCCCUUGCUGGUAU
rnacentral:tRNA from 1 species